AAGUGCCUACCCAAAGGAAACCGUUAGGCCCAGAUAGCAUCUCAGUCACCCAAGAAAAUAUGGAAGUUCUCAAUGAAUGACAGAGAGACACUAAAAGGACACCGAAGCCCGCUUACAGGAGUAUCGGCUUAGGUCACGAUCUCAUGGUCGUGAGUUCGAGCCCCACGCCGGGUUCUGUGCUGAGCCUACAGCCUGCUUGGGAUUCUCUCUCUCCC